GCCUUAUAUCGUGACAGCGCGGCAGAUGUCAUUCUUACAAGGGUGGCGAAGUUGGGAAAGUUGAGCAGCUUCCAGUUGGAAUAGCAGUUCUGUCCCCGUGGAGUUCACAACACAACCCAUAGUAUCAUUACAGGAGAAACCUGGCGAGGCAGGCCCCGCACUAGAGCUGCGCCAAGACAGAGAAAGGCAGACGCGAAGUGUCCUCGCUCGAGCCUAACGCUCAACUCUCUAGUCUGUCUGAGAGCGUCUUUGAUGAGACAACAGGAUGACCUGGUGAUCUCAGCUCUGCAGAUGCCCUCACGUCCUGCCGAGCCGCGCCAGGGCGUGGCCGUGCCCGUGCCACGCGUCAAAGGGGCUCACCUGUUCA